AUGCUAGCAAGAUGGGCAGCAUAUCUAGAGAGGUUUAACUAUCUCAUCGUGCAUAAAUCUGGAAUAACUAACAGAGUGGCCGAUGCUUUGAGUCAUCGUGCAUGCCUCUUGACUUCUUUUGAAGCUGAACUUCCGGGCAUGGAUCAAAUAAAGGAGUUGUAUGAGGGUGACGAAGACUUUGGUCAUGUCUGGGUAAAGCACGCAAGGGGCCAACCAUUAGGUGAUGACUAUUUGAUGCAAGAUGGAUAUGUCUUCAAAAAUGAUCGUUUGUGCAUUCCAAGAAGUUCUCUACGUGACAAGCUGGUUAGAGAGCUCCAUUCAAGUGAUCUUACUGGCCAUGUUGGACGGGACAAGACUGUCGCUAGCCUGGAAGCUUGCUACUUUUGGCCACAACUAAAGAGAGAUGCUAGAAAGUUUGUUCAGCGAUGCCCUACUCAAACCUACAAAGGCCAAGUCCAGAACACAGGGUUAUACAUGCCUUUGCCUGUUCCUGUCGCUCCAUGGGAGGACAUCUCUAUGGACUUCAUCUUGGGCUUGCCAAGAACAAGAUGA
rnacentral:rRNA from 1 species